CGAAAAGCUGAGUCACACGAGAGCAGGCAAAACAUUUUCACUCAUGGAGGCAGCGGUUUAUACACUAAACUGUGUACCUGUGUAUUGAGUAUGAACAUCACUAAACACAACAUCGCCAGCCCACCAACAACUUCAAGGGGUGUGGGUGCUUCUGCGUGACUGGGCCUUCGUAUGAUUUUGUUUCAGAAAGGAUGAACUGAAAAUGCACCAUAACCCUUAAAGGUGAACUUUAUUUGACCUUUGAAAAACUUUUGAAUGUCCAACUCUUCAGCGUAAUUG